CAGUAGCCACGGUAAUACGUAGGUGGCGAGCGUUGUCCGGAAUUAUUGGGCGUAAAGGGCUCGCAGGCGGUUUCUUAAGUCUGAUGUGAAAGCCCCCGGCUCAACCGGGGAGGGUCAUUGGAAACUGGGAAACUUGAGUGCAGAAGAGGAGAGUGGAAUUCCACGUGUAGCGGUGAGAUGCGUAGAGGUGUGGAGGAACACCAGUGGCGAAGGCGACUCUCUGGUCUGUAACUGACGCUGAGGAGCGAAAGCGUGGGGAGCGAACAGGAUUAGAUACCCCUGUAGUCCCUGUCUCUUAUAA
rnacentral:rRNA from 1 species